CUUGGUCCAGUCUUUGAUGAGGAAGCACCAAGCAUCAACAUGGACAGUCAUCUUUGCUUUGAUCCCGGCACAACUCCUCCCAUUUUAUCCACUGACAUUCAAGAGCACUGCUCGUCUUGAAUAUGUUCUAUGGUGUUUCAUGCCUUGAAAGCAUUCUGAUUUGCAACACCUUCUUUGAAAAACAUAUUGAGCCUUGGAAAAGCUGAAAUGUGUGCAACUUGUUCUUGGAAAAUAUAGCUUGAUUUCUGAUUUGCACAAGUACAUGUCUUGCACAUAUGAUCCUGGUAUUUUAAUG